UGGGGAAUAUUGGACAAUGGGCGAAAGCCUGAUCCAGCCAUGCCGCGUGUGUGAUGAAGGCUCUAGGGUUGUAAAGCUUUUUUGUGCGGGAAGAUAAUGACGGUACCGCAAGAAUAAGCCCCGGCUAACUUCGUGCCAGCAGCCGCGGUAAUACGAAGGGGGCUAGCGUUGCUCGGAAUCACUGGGCGUAAAGGGUGCGUAGGCGGGUCUUUAAGUCAGGGGUGAAAUCCUGGAGCUCAACUCCAGAACUGCCUUUGAUACUGAAGAUCUUGAGUUCUGGAGAGGUGAGUGAAACAGCGAGUGUAGAGGUGGAAUUCGUAGAUAUUCGCAAGAACACCAGUGGCGAAGGCGGCUCACUGGCCCGAUACUGACGCUGAGGCACGAAAGCGUGGGGAGCAAACAGG
rnacentral:rRNA from 1 species